UGCUUUAUAAAUGUAUCAUAGCCAAUGAGGUGAAUCCGAGGCGUGAUUAUUGCUAGUUGAAAACUUUUAUUAUUUACUUCAGCAACAUAAGAGAUGUCUAUUGUGCUGUAUUUAGAACAUGGCGAACCUU
rnacentral:snRNA from 1 species